AGCUUGUUGACCUCAUAGAUAGCAAUCCAAAGCAAGUAGAACUUAGGUCAUUAGAAAUAGUUGAACAGCUAAAAUUAGAAGUUCAAAAAAUUCAAUUAGUACAAAAGGAGUUGAGUGAACAAGUAGAUAAGUUGCAUAAUAAAAUAGAUAAAUUAUUGGUUUAAUGACAGAUUCUAGAACUAGCAGAAAAUAUAUCCAAGCUUUGAAAGAAAUCAGUAAGUUAGAUAAAGAACCAGUAGGUUUAACAGAUUUUUCAACACAAGUAUCCAGUAGUAAUAUUCCCAUUAGGCAAAAUAAUUUGAUUAUUCAA
rnacentral:lncRNA from 1 species